UACGUAGGGGGCAAGCGUUGUCCGGAAUCAUUGGGCGUAAAGCGCGUGUAGGCGGUCCGGUAAGUCGGCUGUGAAAGUCCAGGGCUCAACCCUGGGAUGCCGGUCGAUACUGCCGGACUAGAGUUCGGAAGAGGCGAGUGGAAUUCCCGGUGUAGCGGUGAAAUGCGCAGAUAUCGGGAGGAACACCAAUGGCGAAGGCAGCUCGCUGGGACGUUACUGACGCUGAGACGCGAAAGCGUGGGGAGCAAACGGG
rnacentral:rRNA from 1 species